GACGAACGCUGGCGGCGUGCUUAACACAUGCAAGUCGAACGGAAAGGCCCUGCUUUUGUGGGGUGCUCGAGUGGCGAACGGGUGAGUAACACGUGAGUAACCUGCCCUUGACUUUGGGAUAACUUCAGGAAACUGGGGCUAAUACCGGAUAGGAGCUCCUGCUGCAUGGUGGGGGUUGGAAAGUUUCGGCGGUUGGGGAUGGACUCGCGGCUUAUCAGCUUGUUGGUGGGGUAGUGGCUUACCAAGGCUUUGACGGGUAGCCGGCCUGAGAGGGUGACCGGCCACAUUGGGACUGAGAUGCGGCCCAGACUCCUACGGGAGGCAGCAGUGGGGAAUAUUGCACACUGGGCGGAAGCCUGAUGCAGCAACGCCGCGUGCGGGAUGACGGCCUUCGGGUUGUAACCCGCUUUCGCCUGUGACGAAGCGUGAGUGACGGUAAUGGGUAAAGAAGCACCGGCUAACUACGUG
rnacentral:rRNA from 1 species